CUCGCCUGCAUGAAGUCGGAAUUGCUAGUAAUCGUAGGUCAGCAUACUACGGUGAAUACGUUCCCGGGCCUUGUACACACCGCCCGUCAAACCAUGAGAGUUGGCAACACCCGAAGUCGGUAGUCUAACCGCAAGGAGGACGCCGCCGAAGGUGGGGUUNAUGAUUAGGGUUAAGUCGUAACAAGGUACC
rnacentral:rRNA from 1 species